rnacentral:rRNA from 1 species
CCUACGGGGGACAGCAGUGAGGAAUAUUGGUCAAUGGCCGAAAGGCUGAACCAGCCAAGCCGCGUGAAGGAAGAAGGUGCUCAGCAUUGUAAACUUCUUUUGUCAAGGGACAAAAUCCGGCACGUGAGCCUGACCGCGGGUACUUGAAGAAAAAGCAUCGGCUAACUCCGUGCCAGCAGCCGCGGUAAUCCGGAGGAUGCGAGCGUUAUCCGGAUGUAUUGGGUGUAACGGGUGCGUAGGCGGGAUGUUAAGUCCGGUGUGAAAGCCCGGGGCUCAACCCCCGCGGUGCCUUUGAAACUGGCAGGCUGGAGAUGUCGAGAGGUAGGCGGAAUGCGUAGUGUAGCGGUGAAAUGCGUAGAUAUUGCGCAGAACCCCGAUUGCGAAGGCAGCAUACCGGCGGCUGACUGACGCUGAGGCACGAAAGCGUGGGUAUCGAACAGGAUUAGAUACCCCAGUAGUC